rnacentral:misc_RNA from 1 species
UCUCAUUCACGCACAGCGCAGCACGCACAGUGUCUCGUCCUCUCUAUUUCCAUCACUCUUUUCGACUGUUUCCACCUCAACCCCCUCGUACACAUCCCGACAGCAACAGAAGACAGCAUUGGAGAGCGAAGAGAAGACGCGAUACACACCCACCCACACACGCACAUACGCAUAUCAGAAUUUUGAGAAGGAAACACAACAGACCGAGAGGAGGAUAUACGGGGCGACAUAAAGGGCGAGGGCGGGAGAGAGAGACGUACAUACACACGCACAAGUACAGAGGGACAACCUCUCUACACGACCACAAACUCUUGCGCUUUUAUCCUUUGCGCCUCUCUCGCUCUCUUUGUCCCCCCCCCUCUUCUGCACCUCCUCCAACACCUCCCUCCCUCUCCCUCCCUCAAUAGCCCUGCGCGCUUCCUCUCGCAAGACAGCCUUUGUUCGAGGCUACGCACGCGCUGUGACGCGGACGUGCAACGCCAUCAUAGGCGACGGCGGCGGCAAGCUUCGCAGGACCUCUUUCGUGUGCCCGCGCGUCGCCCGUGCGUGCGCCUUGAUAUUUUUCAUCUCUGAGCGUGAGCAGGGGCUAGCCCCCUCGAGUCCUUCAUCGAUUGCUUGCUGAGAACUCGCUACCAGCAUUCGGCUCGCUCGCUCUUUCCGCGUGUGCCUGUGUGAAGUCCGCUACGCUUGCUCCCUUCCCUCUCUCUGCCGAUCUCUCUCAGCGCGCUUUCAUUUCUUCGCGCCACACUCCGCCCUCCUCCCGCUCUGUGGCACCUCUGUGCGUGUGGCGCGUGUGCUUUGGGGGGGGGAGCGGCUCGGCGUUGCACCUCCCUACAUCUUUUAUAUUCCUGGCGCUUCCCCUCUUUCGCGGUGUCUGCGUGUGUGCGACGCACACGCGCGCACACACACGUUUUUCCGUCUUGACUCCUUUCUUGUCGUGCCUGCUACCCCCUUUGUUUUGCUGUGUGUUGUCGUGUGUGCGCGUGUGUGUGUUUCGCAUUGUCUCUCGGCGGAGAGCUGUUGGCUCCAUUGUGUGUGACGGCACGGCUGUGUCUCUGUGGGUGUGUUGGCAGAUUUGCAGGGCAACUCGUGCGCUGGAUCUCUUCCCUCCUUUCCUUCCCUGACUCACAUCUCGCCUCUUGUGUGCUUCUGCGAGAGGGGCAUCGCUGGUACUCUUCUCGGUGCUGCGGCAGCGCGUGCCCGCUUGGUCUUUCUUUCCCUCUCUCUUUACUUGUUUGUCUCGCGGAGUCACUGGCUGUGCUGUCGCGGCCACUUUGAUCUCUCCCGAUCUCGGCAUUGCCGUUUGUGUGUGUGUGUGUGCACCCUGCCGUGCCGCGCUCCCCCCUCACUCUGGCCAUCUGCGAGGACUGCAUUUCUUCUUGUCGUUGCUCUCGCGCUCUCUGCUUCACGUCCCGCUCGCCCAACAAAGCCCUCCUCCCGCCAUCCGGCUGCCACCUCUUCCUCCCGUAUCGCUCUAGCGCUGCCGCACGAAUCUGACGCACUGCUACUUCUCUCUCGGUCUCUACGCGAUUCGAUUGCCUUUCGGAGUCUUCGCGCGUGCUUUCAACCUAUACACACAGAGAGACUCACAGAGCGGCAAGCCUUGACUGCACGGUGGGGUGCGUGGCCAGCUCAGGCACCUAGGGCAGUGGAGGGGGAGCAACCAGAGGCAAAAAAAGUGGCCGCCAUGGAGCCGCCAUCUCAGCCCUCAGCGGCAGUGCACCGCGUUCAUGCUCGUUUCGACCCCACUGCGGCAAUCGCAACGUACCGCGUGGAGGAAAUCAUGGCCAUGCCAGCCGAUCAGCUGGCCCGCGUCGCGUGGCCGUUGCUGACGAAUAUGGAGCGCUCUUUGUCCAUGAAAGACGUGUACUUCACCCCUCCCAUACGCGUAAGCGCGUCGCCGCGGGCAACAGAAGCCGCCUUUGCUGCCGGAAUUCAGAGCUGCAUGGCGGAGCUGACGGAGAGCCUGUCGCAGACGAACUGCGGUGAGGUGCCGCUGUCCACAGCGCGGCUGCGUGCUGCCGCGUUUGCUUAUUUUAUUUCAGCUUCGCCAGCCCCCCGAAGAGCGCUGCAGGCAUCGUCGCCACGCGGUGCCGCCGGCGCUUCCUGCUCCGGCACGCAUGCGACCGAAGCCGUCGCUCAGCAUCUGCGCAAGGAGGGACACGCUUCUUUUCCGCCGGCCCUCAGCCUGUCGGCAGAUGUCUUCGAGUUCGCCAUCCAGUCGCUUGGGGACGCCUCGGAAAGAGAACUGCGCGACAUCACAAGCGGUGGAGGGUCCGUGGGAACGCUACCCAACAUAUCGCGCCCCUAUACGGACACUGGUGCUGCCGCGUCGCCUUCGGAAAGCGCCUCUGGGACCGCAGCCGGCGCAAGCGCACCAUGUGAGGCUGCUGUGUCGACUCGUGCUGCAUCCAUACAGCUGGGCAGAAACAACGACAACGGCACAGCGGAUUCCCUUGGCGGUGCGACCGCCGCGUCGGGAGCGCAGUCGCCAAGCGAUAGCCACUCCAACACAGCGGCCACAGCGGCAGCCACAACCGCCGCGGAGAGGGGCAAGCAGUCCAGCGCGCGCCCCAGUCGUAGCAGCACCGUAAAGUGCGGAAACGAUGAUGUCAACGACCGCGAGUGCUACGAGCGCAAGACGCGCCGAUUUCUUGCGGAACGGGUCGACAUGCAGUGGGAGUCGGUCGUGGCGAGCGUUCUAGUGUCAGACGGAGGCGAGAGCUGCAGCGGCAGUGGUACCACUUCCGCCUCCGCUACAUCGUUGUCGUCGGCGCCGCCGCCGUCAGCGGGGGCCGGGGCCUUGCUGCGUCAGAAGAUGCUGCGCACGGCGGUGAUGCUGUGUAGGCGCGCUCCUACGUGUGCCGAGGCGGGCCACUCGUUUGCGUGUCUACUGAAGCACUCCUUGCGUGCAGUGUCGGCCACCGACGCUAUCCGAGGCGCGGACGGCGGCGCUGUUUCUACCCCCGUGCUGCACCCUCCGUCGUGCUUGUCAGCGUACCACGGGCAGCGGUCACCGCUGACGCCGGCGCAGAAAGGAGGUCCUAUCCAGCCCAUCGAGAAGCGGGAGGCGCACGGGUUGGUAAAGCAGAGCCUGUCGCUCGCAGCGUCCCCCUUGCAGCCGCAGCACACCUCUGUCGCGCAGCAGCAGGCCGCUCUGUGGGUGGAGUUGGUGCUGCCGCUGCUGCACCUCGUGCCCCUUGUCCAGUGGUCACCGGAUACACUGACAGAGCUGGGCCAGGUGCUGGAGACGGUGACGGCAACGGCACCUGCCAAACUUGUGGCACUGGCUCAACAGCAGCACCAGCACGGCAAGAGGGCAGGUAGUUGUGGUGCUACUGGUGGCCACGUCGGAGUUUACCAUCGCCCAUCACAAGGACGCAAGGGAGGGGCCGCUGUGCUCGCUGCAGCAGUGGAGGCUCCUGUCCCGGCAGUGACGAGUGGCGGAGGCGCGGAAGAGGUGGUGAACUUCUCCGUGCGUGUGCCUUUUGAAAUCGGCCUGCCAGUCCCUCCUGUGAUGACCGAGACCCGCCUGAGCGACUUGGUGCACGACUCAGGCGGCGCGACAGAGAAGAGUUCCAAUACUGCGCGACGCGGCGCCGGCGAGACCAGCGCCACCGAUCCUGCCGCACUGCUGGCGUACACGAGCGAGAGCGGCCCAAGCACCGGGAACCGCUACCCGUCCUAUCCGUCCUCGGUGUUCCACGAGGUGUCUGACGUCCGCGACGACGACGACCACAUGGGCGCUGCGGCCGUGACAGAGGAGAUGUCGGUGGCGGGUGAGGAGGGCGGCGAAGAGGACGAGUCCGCUUACACGGACGCCGAGGGCGAGUACGCGUACGACGCAGGCUCCAACGCAUCCACCACCACGAGCGCGCCGUCGCAGAGCCGGGCUUCUCGUGCAAGCCCGCUGAACGUGUCCGCAAGCAGCCGCGACGGCGAAGACGCCGAUGGCGCGGGCGGUGCCGGCGGUGUCGGAGAUGGGUUGUUGUUCAACAGCGCGCAUGGAGACUUUGACGACCUGCCGUGCCGCCGUCGGCGGACGCAGAUGGUGGAGCUGUGCCUGCCAUGCGCCACACGUGUGUCGGUGCACCUUACCAACGGGGUGCAGUGGGACCGUGCCUUGCGCGGGCGCGAUGUGCUGCUCUUGCCGCUGGAGAGCGACGCAAACAGUGCAGAGAGCACUUCCUCGGCGCUGGCAGGGUCCUCGACGUCGAGCACGUCACCUGGCGCGACAGAGGCGCUGAAGAGCAGCUCAAACUCUGCCGCUGUCGGCAAGGAGGCCAAGAAGGAUACGCGGCUGCCUGUGUCUCUUCACAGCUUGAAGGAGGAGCACGGCAGUGACACUCUCACCUACGCUGGCCCGUGCCGUGUCGUAAUCCCGAGCUUGCCGCAGGACCCGGUGUACAUGCUUCCUGGCGAGGUCAGCGCGCAGGUGCAGCUGACCCUCGACACGCGUUGGAGCACCGAAUGGACGGUGGCACUUUCCAGUGCGCAGCGCACCGUGGCGGAGCGGCUCUUGGCGUGGAUGGAGCGGCGGGUGCACGGGAGCGUUGACCAGCAGCAGCCACAACAGCGGCGCAGCCGUAUCGCGAGCUCUUUCCUGCUGCGAGGGGGCUUGAAAGGCGUCAUGGGUGGCGGCGCCUCGGCAUCUGGCAGUUCACAGGCAGCGAUGGCGGACGGCGGUAGCGGCGGUUCCCACGUGCCGAUCGCAGCGAUGACGACUGCAGCCCUGGCCGGCGCUGCUGCGCCUGCAACGGCUGCUGCUGCUGCGCCACUGGCCGACCCCUUCAUCCAGGCGCUGCACGAAAUGCCAACGGCAGCGCUGCAGGCGCGGGUGCGGUGCCACACCGUACACGCCGACGGCGUCCGCGCCGUGCUUUUGGUUAUUGCCCACAUGCUGCUUCAAGACCGCACCGGGUACCUCCACAUGGACCCGCUUACGUGGCAUUCGCCGACCUGGUCGGACGCCGUGCGCCGUGUCAGCCUAGCCAGCACCACCGUCGGCGGCAUGAACAGUGGUGAGCACGCGCUGGAAGUUGCCUUGUUCGUCCUGCGCAAUGUCGCGUCUGGUCCGACAGCCUCGACCGUUUCAUCAGCGCAAGUGGUGGAUGCGGCGAUCGACCUGUUCAGCAUUCCCGGACUCACCGUGGCGGAUGUGAAAGCGGCGCUGGAGGACCGCCGGCAGUUCGGCAGCACUAUGUGGGUGGUUGUCGACCUUCUCACCAAGUGCUCGGCAACGUGGCGGGCACCAAGACACGUGGCGUUAGUCAGUGAGGCGGCGCGACGGCUCCUGCUGCUCGGGUGCACCGGGCCUGCAGCCGCGGCACAGAACCACUAUGCACAUUCGUCGCCGCACCGCACCACCGGUGCCAUCACUGCCGGUGGACUCGCUGGGGCCUCUGCGGCGCCGAUGACUACAUCUGGUAGCGCGACUUCCCCAUCUUUACUCACUGCCACUGCUGCCACCGGCCACUACCUGAGCGUGGUGAGCGGGUGCGGUCGCGUGACCGAGGCAAACCUUCGCCGCGGUGUGCAUGCACUCCUUGCACAGCUCUUUCGGCUGCUGCGUGCUCUGCUGCAUCGCGUCCAGUCAACGCAGGCCGCUCCGCAUCGCUUCUUGCUGGAGCCGUGGGAGUAUGGCGCUUUCGCUGCCUUCACAGUGUCGUUGAUGUCGACGCCAAUGGAUGCGACCGACCUGCAGGCGUGCUCCCCGCACUUUGCGGAGGUGGUGACGGGCUUGCUGCCCGCCUUUACACGCCUGUCUCGCACGGAUUCGCUGGUGCUGACGAGCGAGACGGCUGAGCAGGAGUUCCUGGUCGAGGUACUCAAGUACGUGCGAGGGCGAAUCCCAUCAGCGUCGUCGCCGGCCGGCAGUGCGGGCUCUGCAGAUGGUAGUGACAGCGCCGAGUUUGGCGAAAACGAAACGCCGGCCUCGCGUGAGCCGCACAUCCUCCGCCGCUAUCAAGAAACUGCCAGCGGAAACACCGUGACGUAUAUCAGCUCGAUGCCAUCCGUCCUGGGCGAUGGCGGGGGCCUCUGGGACAUCCCGCAGAGCUCCGCGAGCGCGUCGUGGACCCCCGGGCAUGUGCGAGUGGAGCUGUGGAACGGUACGAGCAGCGGCUUCUUUAUCGGACUCGCCUCCGCCGACGUCCCGCUCGCCGACUGCACACCAGAGACGGACGCCAACGGCAUUUACUUUAUCGGCGAUGGCACCGUGCAGUACGGCGACGUGACGCGCCGUCAGCGUCGGCUGCCUCGCUGGCGCGCUGGCGACGUUGUGGAGCUCAGCUUUGUGUUUGCGCGUGGUGGCUGGGACGUCGUAAUGGAACUUAAUGGCGUGAGCUUGACGCGGCUGACGCUGCCGCGGCGGGACUUCCGCCUUGUGGCGACAAACGUGCGCACCGGCGAUUACGUGCCAGGCCUCGGCCACAUGCACGUGCUAUCCGUCACUCCGGUGCACAGCAGAGGGGGUAAGGAUAGCGGCGCUGCUCGGCGCCGCGGUGUCGGCGGCACAGGCGGCCAUGCGCUCUCAUCAGGCGCUUCAUCGUCGCUGUCGUUGGCAUCGGCGCCGGCUGACGUCCGCCUCUCCCCUUUUGCGCGGUUGACAUUGUUCGGUGUGUCGCUGCUGCUGGAGCUGGUCCUCCACUACCUCGUGCUGCGCAGCUCUCGCCAUGUCCGCGCGGCGGCCGCCGCUGCUGGCACUGCUGCCUCUAGCACUGCUGCAGGGCAUGGGGAGGGGUUAAGCCUGGUGCAGGCGUGCACCAUCCCACUACAGCACAGCGUGCAACAGCUGGUGCAGCUGCUGCACGAGCUCGACAGCACCGACAGCAGCGGUGCCGGUGGCGCCGACGACGGAGCCAUGUAUCACGUGAAGCACACGGCAGCCAAACACGUUACAAACGCGAUGCUGCUCGACCUUGUUGUCACGCUCUCCAUCGCGGUACCAGCGUCGCCGGCGCUCUUUGCCACGCAUAUUGAUGUCCUCAUCGCUGUCGCUGAGUGCGCGGCCGUGGCACGCAAGACUCGUUCGGUGGCUUUGAGUGCUCUGUACAACGCCAUCUCGCAGCGCGCUUCCGCCGCCGGCUGUGACACCGCACCCGCCUCGCUGCCUUCGGCCCCGGCAGCCACAUCGGCAGCCGCGCCGGUGAGUGCGAGUGCUGUACAGCGUCUCUGGGCCGCCUGUCAUCAGCUCGCCUCCGCCACGCCUGGCUAUCAGCCGCGGUUCAACAGCUCGUCGGUUCCGUCGUCGUGCGUGACCGUAUUUGCGGGUGGGCGUCGGAUUGAGCACAACCAGGCAGGAACCACCAGCGGCAGUGGCGGUGGCGCCGCAUCCAGCAAUGUGCGCAGCAUAUCGUACGCCUGCAAUCCCGUUGAUCUGGCGGACCCGAACACACCCGAUGUCGUGCGCGUGUCGGUGCGACUGCAGCGCGGCUUUCAGUGCGAGACGCUGGGGCGCUACUACUACUUCGGCCUGGCGGAGAUCAACGCGCCGCCGAUGGUCACGCCGCUUGACGGUAACGGCGAGCUCAUCCUCUACCCGGGUGAGUGGUCGAAGCAGCGCCGGGUGUACUACAUCUCCGACUACUUGACCGAGGUGCCCGGCACGGCUGUGCAGCGGUGGGACACGGAGCGGGCAGAGAACUAUUUGAACCCUGAUACUGGCAUUGUCUUCGGUUCUGGCGAUGUGAUGACGGCUGUCGUGUACGUGAAGGAGCGGUGCAUCGGGUUCGAGCGGAAUGGGCUGCCGCUAAACAUCUUACAUCGCAGAAUCCCCGCCUCUGUGCGGCACAUCUUUCCGUUUGUGGAGCUCUACAACCGCGAUAGUCGGGCAAAAUGGAUGUACCCGCCUGACGAAGCCGUCGUGAGCGCGCGGUACACGAUGCGUGCAAUGCUGCUGUCGUGGACGCCUCUGGUGCUGCCGCUUGUGAAGGAGCACCUGUCCAUCACCACCGCCGCGGCCUCUGGUGCGCCAGAUCGGGACGUAACUCUGGGCGUGCUGGGUGCGGAUGGAGACGAGAUGCAGAUGGUAUACGUUGCCCCUCCGCAGCUCGACCAGCCUGGCGGUGGCACAACGUCCGUGCACGUUGAACGCUUCGAGGGUGGCAUGGUUGUCGUCAGCGACGAGGCUGGGUCCAUUCAGCGAGUGUGCGCGGCUGCCCUGGAGCCGGACUCCACAAAGGACGCUUACUCGCUGCCGGCGUUGGCCGCGGUGCGGGCAUGCGUGCAGGCAUGCGUGCCGGAGCUCGCCGCGGUGGCUGCCGAGUGCCUUGCCGGGUUGAAGCGGACCUCACCAACGCCCUUGGCCACCUCGCCGCGUUCGUUCAGUUAUACGGAGGAACACUCGGACGAUGAAGCGCGCCGACACGCCUUGCUCACUCAUCCGGCUACCCUCUUACGCACACUGCGGCUGAUCUUCUCGUUGCACAGCUCAUUGCCAGGGAAGGGAAGCAGUGGCAGCAACGGCGGCAGCAACCCCCCCAGCACCGACUCCUGUAUAGGCGCAGGCGGCAGUAAUGUCAGUGGGCCGGUGAGUGGCAUCCCUACGACACCACCAUCGACCACGCUUCCAGCGGCGGCGGACAAGGCCAUACACGCUCUCUUGCCCUUGCUGGACGCGGUCUUGCCAGCGGCACAGCUGAACCUGCCGCCGCAUGUGUUGCUGCGUGAGUCGUGGAAUGAACUCUGGUGCAACCCACACCUGCGCGAGCGACUGCUCAUUCGCGUUCUGCAAGCCAACGCCCCCGAGGCGGGUGCGACGGGGGCGGCGAGCGCGUACACGGAGCCUGCGGGCACGACCGCGCUCACGAGCGUAAAAAGGCUCGAGGACCGUCUUGUCGGUCAUCGACGUCGCGGACACGCGCUCUUGUGCCCGACAUGCGGGGAGCGCUGGUCGGCCUGCACGGCACGCCACUCCGCGCCGUCGAGCUGGUGCGACCUGCUCGAUCGCGUCCUGCGGCGGCUGCAGGAGCAGCUAGCGCACCCGGAGGACCAGCCCGCCUCGCCGUACUGCAGCUGGUAUACUGAAUGGACGGACGGCCCGCUCACUGCAAUCAGCCAUGCCACCGGCGCUGGAGGGCUGCCGCAAAGCGUGCCUGCCGCAGCAACCGCCGCCGCCGCCGCCGUGGCCGGUGUCGAGAACGAGGUGGGGGCAGGUGGCGAGGGCUAUCACAGCCGGACGUCUCCCCAGUCUUCCGAUGCUAUGCUAUGGGAGGACGCCGAUGAUGAGGAUGGAGACGAUGCGGCCAGCGAGGCGGCGGCGGCAGAUGGCCACGGCGAGCCAGCUGUGGAGGCCGAGGAGGAUGCCGACUCUGGUGACGCGGCAGCGCCAGGAGACGACUACUCGGUGGCCUCAGGCGCUGAAGCGAUGACCAGCGAACUUGUUGGGCCGCCUCGGGUCGAGGAUAGCGACGAAGACAACCAGGACGAGGAGGACGAGGAGGACGAGGAGGACUUUGGAGUGUCUGCUCCAGCUGCCACCAGCGCCGCACGCGAGUCCCUUGCUGUCGCCGGAGCAGGUGGCGAGAGGGAGGCGGAGGCACCGAUGACAUUGACGAUUCGCCGCGUGCAAAACGACGCUAUCGAGGAGGACGACCGCGCGUUGGUGGAGGGAUUCGGUGAAACAAAGGAGGCCUCCUUCACCUUCACCGGCUACCUCGUCUCAUCGGCGGUACUGCAUGGGCGGAUGGAGUUCGACCGCAUCAACCUGCCCGACGGUGACGGCCCCGACGGGGCCGCCAGCCAAGAGUGGGCCUGCUCCAUGUGCACUUUCAUUAACGAGCCUUCCGCUGUGCGAUGCGCUAUCUGCUCCAACGCGCGUCCAGGCGCGUCGUGGACGUGCCCCAUGUGCAGCUUCGCCUACAAUGCCCUUGCGGCAGCGACGUGCGUGACGUGUGGAUGCAUGCGGCCGAGCAGCGUGCGACGGCAGGAAGCGACGGGUCUGUGCUGCUACUGUACCGAGUGUCAUCAGCGCGAGUACGCUCGAGAUUUUCACGCGCUGCGCCAUCGCCACUUCUGCUCCAGCUGCGCCCGCGUGACGCGGUGGCUUCCGAAGGACAGGUUCUCCACCACCAUUGAGGCACGCCUCACCGGCGACGGCGCCACAUUGGAGUUCCAGUGGGCGCUGGACGGCUCCAAGAUAAUCUGCUUCGGUCUGCAAAACCGCGCGUACAACGCUGACGUCUUGUGGGGGCUUGUCGAGGCGGCGGCCCAACAGAUUGGGUCGUGCGCCGCUGCGGAGGUGGGCCGCUAUGUCUGUCCUAUCCCAGAGCGUCCGCUCACCUCGCAUCUGGCGAAGCCGCAAGAGCGCAUAACUGCAUCGGCGGCACCGGCACCUGUUGAGCCGUGCAUUGUCGGCGCCAUCGUCCACUAUGCGAGCGCCAUCCUUCUUCGCUACGCGGCGUUGCUGCCAUCCAGCCAGCUGUCUCAACCAGGCUUCUUGCGUCGCAUUCACGUCUGCUCAACAGACUGGCUGGAGAGCUGGAGCCAGUUCCCGGCGUCCACCGUCACUCCCAUCUUUUUCCAGUGCCUGCAGAUGCUGCAGGAUGGCAUCCGCGAGCCGGAGUUAGUGUCCACCAUCGCAAGCGUCGCACUCGCGUUGAUCCGGCAACAGCCACUCGAACUCGCGGCUGAGAAAGACGCGUUACUCUACGCGCUGUGCCUGAACGUUGUGCGACACGGCGACACGGCGCAGCGUAAGGCCAGCUACGAGUGCCUGAGCGCAUUGAUGGAGGAAAACGCAUGCGCCCGCUUGAACGUGCAGCCGUUGGUGCAAGUGCUGUCGAUGGAACCCCUUGUGGAGGGCCAACAGCGGGCAACCGUCCUGGCACUUCUUCACCACGCGUCUAUGCGAACCACUUCAGCAAUUGCGAAGGCCAGCGCGUGCCUGGCACGCACUGUGGUCGCGAUGGAGCAGCGGCGCCCACUACCGCCGAUGCUGGGCAAGCCGUUUCCGCACGUGGUGGCUUUGACGGAGACGCGCCUCAACGAGGCUGGGGAACUGCUUGUGGGUCAGGUGCGCGGCAGUGUUGGCGUGGCGCCAACGAAAGGUGGAAAGUUCUACUACGAGGUGGAGGUGCCGCCGGAUUUCGCCGACCGAUCGAGGACUGUGGUAAUGGGGUGGGGCACGCUGGAGCACGAGCGCAUCGCCUCGGCGCAGCACGUUGGGUCAGACCUGCAUUCCUGGGGAUACAACUGUCGCGAGCACCUGCGCUUGAUGAUGACAGAGCAGGCGAUGCCCGUGCCGCGACGCCCGAGCGCCGGUGACGUUAUCGGGUCCAUGAUUGACCUCGAGGCGAUGAUGGUGUGCUGGACCAUCAACGGGCAGGAAAUAUCGUGGGUAUCGGUGCCGGCUCAGGGCGACGGUGAGGAGAUCUAUCCAUACGUGAGCGCCUCCGUUGAGCCGCACAGCCUCAAGAUCCGCCUGGGCAACACGCAGUUCAAGCCAGCCGGCUAUCAAGACUACUCACCGCCGUCAGACAAGCAACUGUGGGGUAGAGACGACGAGAAAAGCGACGGCGGAAACGAUGCGAACGACGCGCAGGUCGGCGCGGCCGAAGCUCUCCCGCAGACAUAUGAAUUUUAUCAGCAACUCAGUCGUGCUCUGGAGGAGGCCUCCAUCACGUCCCUCAGGGAGUCGUCUGUGCUGCCGCUGCUCGACGCGGCUAGAGCGCACAGCGUGCUUCGCCAAUACCCACUCUUGAUGGAGGUGGUCGGCUCGGCCACUGUCGGCGACCGCGAAGAGCGCUUGGCAGCACCUGUGAACAUUCACGGCCUGCUUCUAUACAUUCAGCAACUGCGCUGCGUCCAGGAGCUGACCAUCAUCGUUGCACGCCACCUGUGGCUCAUCGAGAAGUCGCCGUACCUCAUGUCCUGCUACCGCAAGGCAACAGACCUUCUCUUCAGCAGCGGUCGCUGGACCAUCUUCGAACUCCAGCCGGGCGGCAGACCCAAGUACAACGGCGGGCACGCUCUCCGUGUGCUCGUGUCGCUGCGCAAGGCAAACCAGGUGCGCGCCGAGGCAGACGCGGCGUGGAUAGCAGAGCACUCGGCGCUGCUGCCGUCCCCUUCACCCGCGCUAUCGCCGCUGUCGCUUCCCUCUCGCCAAAACUCUCACGCUGACGCUGCCGCCGUCUUGGCAGCCGUGCCGCCGCUGGUAGACGGCACUAGACAGACAGGCGAAGCCGCGGCGGCGCGGUCUCCAUUUGCAGAGGAGGCGCCGGCGGCCUUUCCCCACGACGUCCACGACGCCGGCGAGGACGACGACGCGGAAGACGACACGGACGACUUAGUGGGUGACAUGGAGGAUGAGGAUGAGGACGCCGAGGAAGACGAGGGGGACGUGCUGUCUAUGCACGCCGGCAGCUCGGGCAACGAGCGGCGCAACAGCCUGCGCGACGUUUUCGGCGACGCCUCCUCCUUGUCGCCGGAGGAGCGACGGCUCCGCUGCAGCGUGACUGGGCAGCUUUUCACACAACUGGAGAAGACACGCGUGUACCAGCGAGCACGCAUGUUUGCGGUGCAGCUAGAAGGCACACUCGCGCUGGACGCUGGCGGCGUAACGCGCACCAUCAUGAGCAUGAUCGGGGACGAGGUGAGCUACCGCUUUAUCCGCGGGGUGCGCGUGGAUCCGCUGCUGCCGCUUUUUCAGCUGUGCAGCCACAGCACCAUCUUCACGGUCGUUCCGAACAUGUCCGCGCUGUACGCGAGCGAGGCGGCCGAUGACGGCGCCGAGGGCAGUGUGCUGCGUCGCAUGUUCGAGUGGCUUGGCAAGAUCAUGGGCAACAUGGUGCUGUGCGGCACGCUGAAGGCGUCGUUCGACUUUCCUCAGAUGCUAUGGAAGACGCUGACAUUCCAGGAGGACACGAUAACGCUGGCCGACUACGCGCACGACAUAGACGACAACAUCAUAGCCGCACUCGAGGACGAGGAGUUCGUGCUCAGUGAUGACUUUUUUGCGUCCCUGCCGGAGCACGUGCGGGCGAGCCCGGCGUUGCUGCGCAGCCUGCAAGGCGGCGGCGCCGGUGCUAUGGACGGCGCCGCCGCACCGUUUGCCGCCCGCCCGCUGCGGCCGUACGCCUGCAUGACCCCGGGGGUGAGCAUGCAUGACAUGAGCCACCUGGUACUGGAGGAGCUGGAGGAUAUGGCUGCCAGCGCGGAGGCGGCCGAGGUGAACCGGCGCCGUGCCCUUGCCCAGGAGGCACUGCUCCAUCAGUACGACCCCGCGUUCUUGGCAAUUCGUGCUGGCCUGACCUCUGUUGUUCCCGCCACUUCGUUGCGCUCCGUGCGGUGGGAGGACCUGCGCGCGCGUGUGUGCGGCACCGGCGCCGCCUCGAGCGAGCACGUCAUCGCGGAGCUGGACAUGUCGCCGCUCUCCCUGUCCAUGCGCGCCAUGCUGACGGAGGUGCUGAACGGCUUCACCGAGUCGCAGCUGGCGCGCUUCCUGCUUUUCUGCUCUGGCCAGAGCCGCAUCCCGCUGCCGGAGAAGGUGCUGGUGGAGUGCGGGGACGAGCCAGGACGGCUGCCGACGGCGCACACCUGCUCUCCCAUUUCGCUGCUGCUGCAACCAUGCACAGCAGCCGCGGACUUGCAACGCAGUCUGGAGACGUGCCUCAACCACGCGGCGGAGUUCGGCUUUGUGUAGAGGCGGUAUCUCCGCGUCGCCACCGCAGUAGACGGGGAGGGGAGCCCAUGCAGCGUUGCUCCUGCCAUGCUAUCUGCUUUUCUGCCUUUGGUUGCCGUAUGUACCGAUAGAGGCGAUGAUGAGCACGUCUGGCGAUACGAGUACGCCGGGUGAGUCUUCGUUUACGCUGCGGACUCUUACCACUCCGCCUUCUGCCUUUCUUCUACCUUCCCUUUCUCUUCUGCUGCCGCCACGGCAGCUGUGAUGCCUGUGCGCGCGUGCGUUACGUCGCCGCUACCUCGCCUCUCUUUUUCUUCGCUUCGCCUCUGGAGGGCCGCUGUGGAGCACCGCGUCUCGCGCAGUUCUGUUUUCGCGUUCCCCUCUCCCUGUUGUUGCCGCACGUGUCUGCUUCCAUCUGUCUGUGUGCCACUUGGAGUGGGGUGCGUAUGCGCUUGCAUCGGCGUUGCUUUCCUCGCCAAACUCCCCAUGGAGCUCGGCAUAGCUCGCGUAUAUACCUGCGCUGACUUC